rnacentral:rRNA from 1 species
AUUGAACGCUGGCGGCAUGCCUUACACAUGCAAGUCGAACGGCAGCACGGGAGCAAUCCUGGUGGCGAGUGGCGAACGGGUGAGUAAAGUAUCGGAACGUGCCCAGUCGUGGGGGAUAACGUAGCGAAAGUUACGCUAAUACCGCAUACGAUCUAUGGAUGAAAGCGGGGGAUCGCAAGACCUCGCGCGAUUGGGGCGGCCGGUAUCAGAUUAGGUGGUUGGUGGGGUAAAGGCCCACCAAGCCGACGAUCUGUAGCUGGUCUGAGAGGACGGACGGCCACACAGGGACUGAGAGACGGCCCGGACGCCUACGGGAGCCAGCAGUGGGGAAUUUUGGACAAUGGGCGAAAGCCUGAUCCAGCCAUGCCGCGUGCAGGAUGAAGGCCUUCUGGUUGUAAACUGCUUUUGUACGGAACGAAAAGGUUUGGCCUAAUAAGCUGAGCCCAUGACGGUACCGUAAGAAUAAGCACCGGCUAACUACGUGCCAGCAGCCGCCGUAA